GCACCGGCUAUUAUACAAGUGAGUGACCUAGCUGAUCUCCUCGGUGGAGGGGACGGGACUGGCUGCAGUACUGACUGAUUGUGCUGGCAGUACCUUAAUGCAUAUUGCCGGGGCACCAGCUAUAUUACUACUCACUUCACAGAUACUGAGUACUGACAAAGCCUCCUCUUCCUGCUCCACCCUGAGUCCCUGCCCCUCCUUCUUAUCUCCUCACCUUAUCUCCAGAGCUCUGCAACUCUGGAGUCUGAAAGACCUUCAAAAAUAACUGCCCGCCUCCCACCGCUGACCAGCGCUCACUUCUGCACGCUGCACCGCCAUUGAAAGCUGACCACCGCAGACCACAACUGGCGGUGGUCAGAGGGACAUCAACGCCUCAGCGAAGAAGGACAGCUUAGUACCGCCGCAUCCCCCGCAGACCAUGGGCUCAUCCGCCACCGACAACCACAGUCCCUUCCGCACCUCCGCUGCACAUAUCAGGUGAUGCGGGUUAUCCAAACAAAUCGUGGCUCUUGACCCCAUUGUCUAAUCCUGUUGGUAGAGCAGAAAAACGUUACCAAGAGACACACAUUGCAUCGAGGCAAAUAAUUGAACGUGCCUUCGGUGUACUUAAAAGCCGGUUUCGAUGUUUAGACACUUCCGGCGAUGCUCUUUUGUACUCACCGGCGAAGGUUUGCGGCAUGGUAAAUGCAUGUUGUAUUUUACACAACAUAUGUGUCGCAAACCGUUUGCCGGUGACUCUUCGUCGCAGUGCUUUCCGACGCGGGAACCGUUCUUCUGCUGUACCGGUGGGUAUGGAUGAAGGAGAUGAUUCCCGGCGGACAGUGAUACAAAACUUUUUUUCGGUUGCCUAGUUUUACGUCCUGUUGAUGUGCAUUCCCAGGCCUGUUUUGUCCUGUUGACGAAUCGUUACCCCCUGUUUUCUCCUGUUGUUGGUUUGCUGCAAAUUUUGGACCAUUUUAUCCAACUCUACCAUGGGCGACCUACUUGUGAUGUGGACCUGACCCUCCGCCAUGUAGCAGACAACCCCCCUCAGGUCUUGCGGUGUUUCCUUCCCAAGUGGCGUGGAUGUGAAGAGACACACAGUUCCCCUGAUGUUCCAUGGGCGACCAACUUGUGAUGUGGACCUGACCCUCCGCCAUGUAGCAGACAACUCCCCC